CCUAGGCACCCCCUAUACGCUCCCAAACGGUGGCAGGUACUAUAGGAAUCACCCUGUAUGUAAACACUGAUGUUGUGUAUACAUAGUGAGGCGGACGUUUAACCUUUGUGGAACCGAUACUGAUGAUGCUGUAGACACGUUAUCACAUGCCACCUCAUGUUAUUGUGUUACAUUGUGUAUAUAUAGUGAAACAUUAUUUUAACAGAUACACAUGAGAAUUGUGAUGAAUGUGCUGUAUGGGCUGAUUGAAAUUUGUGCGCAUCUUCCCCAUCGUAUAAUCUUCUAUGGUUUCGGAGAUCCCCAUCCUUAUCUUGGACAGUGAAUAAAGGUCUCAAUAUGUCGUAUAAAUAAAGCAUUUAUCAAAAAACACAACAUUUAUUUAACUUCCAAAUUGCCAACUCACAACGAUAACUACAAAAUGUAAGAAAAUACUACAAACAAACUUUGCAGUUUGAAAUAGGGAUGAGGUUAACAUACUACUAGAACAGACUAUCACAAUGCAACUUUAUCUGAUACUCCAAAUUCCAUAAAUACACAGAAGUAAAUUGUUUGCAGUCCCUCCAAUGGCGAAUGCGUUGGAAUUUCGUAAAAA